rnacentral:precursor_RNA from 14 species
CUCAUAUUCCUAUCCAUCUACAGAGAAAGCCCGUCAAAGUGGUGUGUGUUAUGCCGCAUAAGUGAACUUCUUUUCGGAAGUUUUGGUUCAUAUCACAGCCAGCUUUGAUGUGCUGUCUUGUAUAGAAUUUUUUGACAGGUUUG